rnacentral:rRNA from 1 species
AUUGAACGCUGGCGGCAGGCCUAACACAUGCAAGUCGAGCGGAUGAAGGGAGCUUGCUCCUGGAUUCAGCGGCGGACGGGUGAGUAAUGCCUAGGAAUCUGCCCGGUAGUGGGGGAUAACGUCCGGAAACGGGCGCUAAUACCGCAUACGUCCUGAGGGAGAAAGUGGGGGAUCUUCGGACCUCACGCUAUCAGAUGAGCCUAGGUCGGAUUAGCUAGUUGGUGGGGUAAAGGCCUACCAAGGCGACGAUCCGUAACUGGUCUGAGAGGAUGAUCAGUCACACUGGGACUGAGACACGGUCCAGACUCCUACGGGAGGCAGCAGUGGGGAAUAUUGGACAAUGGGCGAAAGCCUGAUCCAGCCAUGCCGCGUGUGUGAAGAAGGUCUUCGGAUUGUAAAGCACUUUAAGUUGGGAGGAAGGGCAGUAAGUUAAUACCUUGCUGUUUUGACGUUACCAACAGAAUAAGCACCGGCUAACUUCGUG